rnacentral:rRNA from 1 species
AUUAGGGUUCGAUUCCGGAGAGGGAGCCUGAGAAACGGCUACCACAUCUAAGGAAGGCAGCAGGCGCGCAAAUUACCCAAUCCUAAUACAGGGAGGUAGUGACAAGAAAUAACAAUACAGGACCUUUCGGUUUUGUAAUUGGAAUGAGUUAAGUAUAAACCCCUUUACAAGUAUCAAUUGGAGGGCAAGUCUGGUGCCAGCAGCCGCGGUAAUUCCAGCUCCAAUAGCGUAUAUUAAAGUUGUUGCAGUUAAAAAGCUCGUAGUUGGAUUUCUGUUAAUUACUUUAUAUAAUUUUACACUUUUGUGUAGUUAUAUAGUAUUAACAUAAUUCAUAUUACUAUUUUUAGUAUAUGAAAUUUUACUUUGAGAAAAUUAGAGUGCUUAAAGCAGGCUUUUGCCCCGAAUACUUCAGCACGGAAUAAUAAUUAAAGAUUUUUAUCUUUCUUUUAUUGGUUCUAAGAUAAAAAUAAUGAUUAAUA